rnacentral:tRNA from 1 species
GCCAGCAUGGUGUAAUGGUUUGAGUGUUGGACUAUGACUCUGGAGAACAGGGUUCAAUUCCCAGCUCAGCCA